rnacentral:lncRNA from 1 species
AAGGUAUGAUGUCCGCUUAGCCGUCCAACCCGCCCUCGCCAGCCCAUCUUAAGGGUCCCGCUGGUUCUGCGGAAGUAACAUCCCACUACCGCGCCGUCCACAGCAAAUAAACCCAGAGGCCGCGGUUGCACGUCGAGUGUUCGAAAUCGCUCUAAGGCUUGUCCUUGCGGUUGGCUUUUCAGCCUUCGGCCCCUGAGACACCGCCUUUCGAGAUAUUUUCCUGCUUGAAACUUAACCGUUAGUACCUACGCCUGUGCCCUGUAAGGUGGGCGGGCGCGAGGGGCAUUCGGGCACGCCCGCCUCCACCGCCUCACCCUGUCGGCCCCUGGAGGUCGCGUGGACAGCCCCGCUCCCAGAGAAGCCGCGUCCUCUGUCGGCCCCUGGAGGUCGCGAGGACAGCCCCGCUCCCGGAGAAGCCGCGUCCUCUCCCCGGUUCUGGGAUUCUGGAGAGCCCCCCUGGCUCCCAGCCUCUCUGCCCUCGCGUCUUCUCAGGCCGAUCGUUCUGCCCCGCCCGCCUCCCUUCCUGGUCAGUCCCUUUUCCUCACCCCUGGGCUGGACAUGUGGCACCCAGUGUUUUUCCGUCACGAAUCGUCUCGUUGGAAAAGGUGCUCUUUUGAUAGAUCAACUUCUAAAAACUUACAUUGUCUGAGGAAGAAGCUGGUAAGAGGAGGAAAAAAGGAAAGAAAAGAGGAAUGGCUCUUUCCCAGAUUCAUUCCUUGCCUGAGUGCUUUUUCCCUUCAUCUCAUACAUUUGAAAUUUUCUUUAGUAAGUAGUAAAUCAUCUUAGACUAUUUUGUGCCAUACUUAGCAGAAAUGUCACCUCGCUUAUCAGUUCUAAUGAGGUAGAUGAACCUAGAGUCUAUUAUACAGAAUGAAAUAAGUCAGAAAGACAAAUACUGUAUAUUAAUGCAUGUAUAUGGAAUUUAGAAAGAU